GGGGCGCUGCGGCCCCUUCCCCGUUUCAAAGCGGCGGGGAGGGGGGCGAAGGAGGGCCGUUGGCGGCCCUGCGCCGCCCUGCGUUGGGGCACCUUUCGGGGUCCAGUGCGCCGAAUGUGGAGACGGAACAGGAGCAGUUCCCUGGGUCCUGGGGCGUGGUGGCGAAGGCGCCGUCAGGGGGCCGGAGUCUUUAACCUGCCACACAGCUCUCCGCCCCCCCCCCCCCCCCCCCGCUGCCCCGCGGCCACUGCAGCCCCACCGGCAGCACAGAAAGGGUCCUGCGUGUCUCGGCGCUGUGCGUUCCAGAGCAAGUGACUCAACAACUCUGGGCCCUUUCUUCCUCCUAAUAACUAGGAGCUCUGGCAGGGGACCGACUGCGUGCCAGGGGCCAUGCUAAGCACUUUCUACACAUCAGCCCAGUGCCUGCCCCCAGUAACUAACUCUGGGUUGAGUGCUGACAUCUACCCAUUUCACAGAUGGGAAAAAAAGAGCCACGGGGGGUUUAAGUGACUCAGGAAAGUCCCCCGGCACACAUCUCAGCAACCAGGAAGCAGGUGACCACAGACCAGAGGGAAAAGGCAGGUGAUGAUGGUUGGCCAUCUGUGGGUGGGUGACCGAGGAGUGGGGCUGUUGGCACGGUGUGACAGUUACUCGUAUGGCCUUGGUCUGCGACUUCGCCUCUCUGAGCCUCAGUUUGCCCAUCUGCAAAACAGGGAUAAAAAAAUGGCUUGUCCCGGAGGGCUGGGAGGGGGGUGAACUGGGACAAUCCAGGUGAAACACGCUCUCCACGGACCCGGAGAUAACUGUGUUUGGACACAUUGGUGGAAUGUGACUCUCACCGGGACCUGUGCCUUACAGAUGUAAACUCACCAAAUUUGUGCGACCAGCCUGUGAGGUAGGUUGUCCCGUACCCCCGGUUUACAGGCGAGGAGACAGAGACGCAGGGAAGACACGUCAAGGCCCAAGGUCGCACAGCCUGGUGCAGCUGAGCUAGAGCCCAGGCACCUUGCAGCUCCCUGGCUGUUAGCUAAGAAGACGAGCUUUCUCCUGAGUCCAAAGGCGCUGGUGCGUCGGGGCAGGGAUGGCCUCCGGUGCCUCACGUGUGUUCCCCGUUUCACACCCGGGGCAACUGAGGCCCUGAUGGGUCCCCGUCUGGACGCAAACAGGCGGGCACGUGCCAGAUGAGACGCGUCGAGGCCCCCUUGUAUUAACCUCACUUGGGAGCCACAGCCUCCCGGCCCCAGCAGAGCCACGUCCCUGCUCCCGCUCUGAGCACAUGGCCUCCCUGCAGCGGGAAAGAGGGUCCCCAUCUCCCCCCGGACCCCGUGAACCACUGCCCGCACUCCCCAUCUUCCAUCCCAGGGCGUGGGGGGGGCGGUGGGCUUCCAAGCAGCGACAGGUGCUCAAGGGCAGAGCCGGUCCUGCGGACGGACAGACGGCGAGAAAGCGCCCCACCUUGGUUCUGAAGGAGACCAGAAGGCCGUCAGCUUGGAACAUCUGGGCGCAUCUCAGAUUCGCAGCUUCCUGUGGGGUUGUCUUGGCCCAGAAACCACAGGAAUCUGCCCUCACCCUGCCGGCGAGGCGACUUUCCAGGCUCUGGGCACUUAUCACACGUUAUUUUGUGCAUCUGCCUCCGGGCCUGCUGUUCCCACUGGGGCCGAACCUGCGUGGCUUCCCCUGUGCUGUCGCGCGGUGUCACAAGGCCAGGGACGUGGCUGGGGCUCCGUCGGUGCUUGACCUUCGGAUGCCAAAACCUCACCAGGCCUUCCAAGUUCCAGAAUUGCCCGGCCGCUCCUGCCGGCUGCCAGCGUCCCGCUCCCCCCGCGGGGGCCGGCAAUGGAGGCCGAGUCCGUUCCAGGCGCCCAGCCUCCCCCCUUCUCCCCGGGGCCUUUGCCCUUUGGGUCCUCCCUCGAAACUGCAAUGUGUGUGUUUCAAGCACCCCUCCCAGGGCUGUUUCCUUCUGCAGGCUGGCCUGUCUUGGCUAUUUCAGAGGCUGUGUUUGGCCUCUGGCUCACUGGGGACCAGGAAAACAAAAUUUAUCAUCUGACUGCCCUGGUUUUUUUUUUUUUCUUUCUUUCUCCUCCCCCCACCCCCCAAGAAUGAAGCAAGCACUUUUCUGCCAUUCUCAGAAAGAGCUUUAAACAUGGCAGGCCACCGGCAGAAGUCUGUCCUCCUCAGACGGAAGGAAUGCAACCAUUAACAAUAAAAAAAAAUCCCCGGGAUUUAUGGGGGCCUCGGGCUUAUGAGCCGUUUCACACCCGUUAGCUCACAUGACAUAGCAGUGGGGGGGGGGGCGGGGGGAGGAAGAGCGGGAAUCGUCCUCUCCAUUUGAGACACAGGGACACUGAGGCCCAGAGGCACAGGCCCUCAUAGUGAAAUUUCCUUGUACUUUCGACGCGGGCCAGUAAACAUUAAAAACGCACAGCAUGUUGGGUGA